rnacentral:hammerhead_ribozyme from 1 species
GUACUGCUGAAGAGUCCCAAACUAGGACGAAACAGCUAUCCAGUAA